rnacentral:rRNA from 1 species
CCUUCGGGGACACCGGCGGACGGCUCAGUAACACGUCGGUAACCUACCCUCGGGAGGGGGAUAACCCCGGGAAACUGGGGCUAAUCCCCCAUAGGCCUGGGGUACUGGAAGGUCCUCAGGCCGAAAGGGGCUCUGCCCGCCCGAGGAUGGGCCGGCGGCCGAUUAGGUAGUUGGUGGGGUAACGGCCCACCAAGCCGAAGAUCGGUACGGGCCAUGAGAGUGGGAGCCCGGAGAUGGACACUGAGACACGGGUCCAGGCCCUACGGGGCGCAGCAGGCGCGAAACCUCCGCAAUGCGGGCAACCGCGACGGGGGGACCCCCAGUGCCGUGGCAAAGCCACGGCUUUUCCGGAGUGUAAAAAGCUCCGGGAAUAAGGGCUGGGCAAGGCCGGUGGCAGCCGCCGCGGUAAUACCGGCGGCCCAAGUGGUGGCCGCUAUUAUUGGGCCUAAAGCGUCC